rnacentral:tRNA from 1 species
GUACUAGUGGUGUACUGGUAGAAUAGUACCUUGCCAUGGUACACACUCGGGUUCGAUUCCCAGCUGGUGCA